rnacentral:rRNA from 1 species
UCCUCCAAGGCUAAAUACUCCUGACUGACCGAUAGUGAACCAGUACCGUGAGGGAAAGGCGAAAAGAACCCCGGCGAGGGGAGUGAAAAAGAACCUGAAACCGUGUACGUACAAGCAGUGGGAGCACAGGUUUACCUGUGUGACUGCGUACCUUUUGUAUAAUGGGUCAGCGACUUAUAUUCUGUAGCAAGGUUAACCGUAUAGGGGAGCCGGAGGGAAACCGAGUCUUAAUUGGGCGUUAAGUUGCAGGGUAUAGACCCGAAACCCGGUGAUCUAGCCAUGGGCAGGUUGAAGGUUGGGUAACACUAACUGGAGGACCGAACCGACUAAUGUUGAAAAAUUAGCGGAUGACCUGUGGCUGGGGGUGAAAGGCCAAUCAAACCGGGAGAUAGCUGGUUCUCCCCGAAAGCUAUUUAGGUAGCGCCUCGUGAAUUCAUCUCCGGGGGUAGAGCACUGUUUCGGCUAGGGGGCCAUCCCGGCUUACCAACCCGAUGCAAACUGCGAAUACCGGAGAAUGUUAUCACGGGAGACACACGGCGGGUGCUAACGUCCGUCGUGAAGAGGGAAACAACCCAGACCGCCAGCUAAGGUCCCAAAGUCAUGGUUAAGUGGGAAACGAUGUGGGAAGGCCCAGACAGCCAGGAUGUUGGCUUAGAAGCAGCCAUCAUUUAAAGAAAGCGUAAUAGCUCACUGGUCGAGUCGGCCUGCGCGGAAGAUGUAACGGGGCUAAACCAUGCACCGAAGCUGCGGCAGCGAACGUAUCACUUAAAGCGAUUCAGCGGGUUACGAUUGACGGAGCGAAGCGACGUCAAAGCGUUCAUUAAAGUCGAGUCGGUUUAAGGAUACGUUCGUUGGGUAGGGGAGCGUUCUGUAAGCCUGUGAAGGUGGCCUGUGAGGG